CCUACGGGAGGCAGCAGUGGGGAAUAUUGGGCAAUGGGCGAAAGCCUGACCCAGCAACGCCGCGUGAAGGAUGAAGUAUUUCGGUAUGUAAACUUCGAAAGAAUAGGAAGAAUAAAUGACGGUACUAUUUAUAAGGUCCGGCUAACUACGUGCCAGCAGCCGCGGUAAUACGUAGGGACCAAGCGUUGUUCGGGUUUACUGGGCGUAAAGGGCGCGUAGGCGGCUUGACAAGUCACUUGUGAAAUCUCCGGGCUUAACUCGGAACGGCCAAGUGAAACUGUCAUGCUAGAGUGCAGAAGGGGCAAUCGGAAUUCUUGGUGUAGCGGUGAAAUGCGUAGAUAUCAAGAGGAACACCUGAGGUGAAGACGGGUUGCUGGGCUGACACUGACGCUGAGGCGCGAAAGCCAGGGGAGCAAACGGGAUUAGAUACCCCGGUAGUCCUGGCCCUAAACGAUGAGUACUUGGUGUCUGGAGUAAAUAGUGCUCCGGGUGCCGUCGCUAACGUUUUUAGUAUUCCGCCUGGGGAGUACGCUCGCAAGAGUGAAACUCAAAGGAAUUGACGG
rnacentral:rRNA from 1 species